rnacentral:lncRNA from 1 species
CAUCCCCCCACAGGGACCUCCAACCCCGACAGACUCCUCCCACAGGAAACCCCUGGCCCCACACAUCUCCCUAUAGGAACCCCCAGCCCCACAGAUUUCCCUAUAGAAACCCCCAGCCCCACAGAUUUCCCCAUAGGAACCCCCGGCCCCACACAUCGCCCUAUAGGAACCCCCGGCCCCACACAUCGCCCUAUAGGAAGCCCCGGCCCCACACAUCCCCCCACAGGGACCCCCAGUCCCACAGAUCUCCCUAUAGAAACCGCUCAGCCCCACACAUCCCCCCACAGGGACCCCCAACCCUGACAGACUCCUCCUAUAGGAACCCCCGGCCCCCCAGAUUUCCCCACAGAAACCCCCAGCCCCACACAUUUCCCCACAGGAAUCCCCAGCUCCACAGAUUUCCCUAUAGAAACCCCCCAGCCCCACAGAUCUCCCUAUAGGAACUCCCGGCCCCACACACCCCCCUUCUUCUCCUAUAAGAAUCCCAAAUACACUUAGUCCAUCCCAGUACAUCCCAGUACGUCCCAGUACAUCCCAGUACCCCCCAGCAAGGGUCCUCCUCUCCCAGUACAUCCCAGUACGUCCCAGUACCCCCCAGCAAUGCUUCUCCUCUCCCAGUACAUCCCAGUACGUCCCAGUACGUCCCAGUACGUCCCAGUACGUCCCAGCAAUGCACCUCCUCUCCCAGUACAUCCCAGUACAGCCCAGUACAGCCCAGUACCCCCCAGCAAUGCUCCCCCUCUCCCCGUCCAUCCCAGUACAUCCCAGUACGUCCCAGUACGUCCCAGUACGUCCCAGUACCCCCCCAGCAAUGCUCCUCCUCUCCCAGUACAUCCCAGUACAUCCCAGUCCAUCCCAGUACCCCCCAGCAAGGGUCCUCCUCUCCCAGUACAUCCCAGUACACCCCAGUACAUCCCAGUACCCCCAGCAAUGCUCCCCCUCUCCCAGUACAUCCCAGUACAUCCCAGUACGUCCCAGUCCGUCCCAGUACCCCCCAGCAAUGCUCCCCCUCUCCCAGUACAUCCCAG